CGGGACGUGGCGCAGACUGGUUAGCGCGCUUGCUUGGGGUGCAAGAGGGCGGAGGUUCAAAUCCUCUCGUCCCGACCA
rnacentral:tRNA from 3 species